AUGACCGCUGAGCCCAUGAGCGAAAGCAAGUUGAAUACAUUGGUGCAGAAGCUUCAUGACUUUCUGGCACACUCAUCAGAGGAAUCUGAAGAAACAAGUUCUCCUCCAAGACUUGUGAUGAACCAAAGCACAGAUAAAGUCAGUGGGUCUGGCAAUAACUCUGAUAUGAUGGAAAACAGCAGGGAAGAGGGAGCUAGCUCUGCAGAAAAAUCCAAAUCGUCAGGAUCCUCACGAUCAAAGAGGAAACCUUCAAUUGUAACAAAGUAUGUAGAAUCUGAUGAUGAAAAACCUUUGGAUGAAACUGUAAAUGAAGAUGCUUCUAAUGAAAAUUCAGAAAAUGAUAUUACUAUGCAAAGCUUGCCAAAAGGUACAGUGAUUGUACAACCAGAGCCAGUGCUGAAUGAAGACAAAGAUGAUUUUAAAGGGCCUGAAUUUAGAAGCAGAAGUAAAAUGAAAACUGAAAAUCUCAAAAAACGCGGAGAAGAUGGGCUUCAUGGGAUUGUGAGCUGUACAGCUUGUGGACAACAGGUCAAUCAUUUUCAAAAAGAUUCCAUUUAUAGACAUCCUUCACUGCAAGUACUUAUUUGUAAGAAUUGCUUUAAAUAUUAUAUGAGUGAUGAUAUUAGCCGUGACUCAGAUGGAAUGGAUGAACAGUGUAGAUGGUGUGCAGAAGGUGGAAACUUAAUUUGUUGUGACUUUUGCCAUAAUGCCUUCUGUAAGAAGUGCAUUCUUCGCAACCUUGGUCGAAAGGAGCUGUCUACAAUAAUGGAUGAAAACAACCAAUGGUAUUGCUACAUUUGCCACCCAGAGCCUUUGUUGGACUUGGUCACGGCAUGUAACAGCGUAUUUGAAAACUUAGAACAGUUGUUGCAACAAAAUAAGAAGAAGAUAAAAGUUGACAAUGAAAAGACUAGUAAAGUAUAUGAGCAUGCACCCAGAUUUUCUCCAAAGAAAAACAGUUCAAAUUGUAAUGGAGAAGAAAAGAAGUUAGAUGAUUCAUAUUCUGGUUCUGUAACCUACUCUUAUUCAGCACUAAUUGUGCCCAAGGACAUGAUUAAGAAGGCAAAAAAACUGAUUGAGACUACUGCCAACAUGAAUUCCAGUUACAUUAAAUUUUUGAAGCAGGCAACAGAUAAUUCAGAAAUCAAUUCUGCUACAAAGUUACGUCAGCUUAAGGCUUUUAAGUCUGUGUUGGCUGAUAUCAAGAAAGCUCAUCUUGCAUUAGAAGAAGAUUUGAAUUCAGAGAUUCAAGCUUUGGAUGCUGUAAACAAAGAGAAAAAUACCGAAGAGCAUAAAGUCAUAGAUGCUAAGUCUGAAACAAAAGUAAGAAAAGGAGAAAAACCUUGUGUUUUGGAAAGGAAGGAUAUUUCAAAAUCAGAAGGUAAACUGUCAAGAAAGCAGGUAGAUAGUGAGCAUAUAGGUCAGAGUGUUGCAGUAGAGGAACAAAGAGCACAUAAAAAUGCCAGUACUGAACAUAAGAAAUCUGAUAAAAAAGAACCUCAGUAUGAACCUACUAACACUGCCGAAGACUUAGACAUGGAUAUUGUGUCUGUUCCUUCCUCAGUUCCAGAAGACAUUUUUGAAAAUCUUGAGACUGCUAUGGAAGUUCAGAGUUCAUCAGAGUAUCAGGGAGAUGGCAACAGUGGAACUGAACAAGAACUGGAGACUUCUAUAAAAUUAAAUAUUACUUCAAAAGACAACAGAGGAGGUAUUAAAUCAAAAACAACAGCUAAAGUAACAAAAGAAUUAUAUGUUAAACUCACCCCUGUUUCCCUUUCUAUUUCCCCAAUUAAAGGUGCUGAUUGUCAGGAAGUUCCACAAGAUAAAGAUAGCUAUAAAAGUUCUUGUCUGAACCCUAAGCCAGAGAACUGUGAACUUGAACAGGAAAAGAAUGAUAAUGAGCAUUUGGCUAAAAGUGAAGUUCCGUUACUUUCAGAAGAAUCUGAUCUUCGAAGAUCCCCGCGUGUAAAGACUACACCUUUGAGGCGACAGACAGAAACCAACCGUACAACAUCUAAUUCAGAUGAAGAAAAUAAUGAAACAGUUAAGGAGCAACAAAAACUUACAGUUCCAAUGAGAAAAAAGGAUAAGCGGAAUUCUUCUGACAGUGCUAUAGAUAAUCCUAAACCUAAUAAAUUGCCUAAAUCUAAGCAGUCAGAGAUUGUGGAUCACAUUUCAGAUUCUGAAGAAAUGCUGGCAAUCCUCAAAGACGUGCCCAGUAUGAGUCACAGUUCUUCAGAUACUGAUAUUAAUGAACCUCAUACAAAUAACAAGAAGACUUUUUACUCAGAGAUUCAAAGAGGGAAAGAUGAUAAAAGAAAAAGGAAACGAAAAAGUUCUACUUCUGGCUCAGAUUUUGAUAUUAAGAAAGGUAAAUCAGUUAAAAAGUCUAUAAUUUCUAAAAAGAAACGGCAAAACCAGUCUGAAUCUUCUAAUUAUGACUCAGAAUUAGAAAAAGAGAUAAAGAGAAUGAGUAAAAUUGGGACUGCCAGAACAACCAAAAAAAGAGUUCCAAAUAAAGAAGAUUAUGAUUCUUCUGAAGAUGAAAAACACAACAAACAAGGAAUGGAUAAUCAAGGUCAUAAAAGUUUGAGGACUGCACAGGAAGGAUCAUCUGAUGAUGCUGAAAGGAAACAAGAGAGAGAGAAUUUCUCUUCAGCAGAAGGCACAGUUGAUAAAGACAAGACCAACAUGGAAUUGAGAGAUUGCCUCUCUAAGAAGCAGCAGCCUGAUGUUUCCUCAGAGAGUGCUGAUAAGCUUUGUUCUGGGAAAGAGGAGAGUUUUAAUUCUCCAGAAGAUAAAAAGUUUGCUGAAUCUAAAGGAAAGAGUAAGCACCAGCGAACCAGAAUGUGUAAGAAAAUACUGGGUGGCUUAUGUGAUGUUGCUGAGAAGUUCUCAGAGAAAGAACAGAGUGAUGAAUCCUCUGAAGAUGAUAACGAGCAGAGCAAAAAGGAAAUUGAAGAAAAAGAAAAGAAGACUGCAGACUUGAGUGAAAAAGUGAUGGAACAAGAGUAUGAAUCAUCAUCUGAUACUACUGAGAAAUUACCUGAGGGAGAAGAAAUUUGUCACUUUCCUAAAAGGAUAAAACAAAAUAAGAGCUCAGCUGAUGGGGAAAAGAAAUGCAAAAAAAGAAAAGAUAAAGCUUCUAAAAAGAAGGGUGAAUUAUCUGAUAAUUCUGAGAAGUUACCAGGGAAAAGAGAAAGUUGUGAUUCUUCAGAAGAUAAGAGGAGUAAGAAUGGAACAUCGAGUAGAGAGAAGAAAAGGUUCAACUUGCCUGAAAAGAGUUCGAGGAAGAGACAGGAUUGUUCAUCAUCUGAUACUGAAAAAUAUUCCAUGAAGGAAGAUGGCUGUGAUUUUUCUGAUAAGAGACCAAAAAGAAUAGAAUUAAGGGAAAGAAGGAAUUUAAAUUCAAAUAGAAAUAGCAAGGAAGUACAAAGUGGCUCAUCAUCUUCUGAUGUUGAGGAAAGUUCUGAAGAUAAUAAAAACCUGAAGAAACAAAGAACUUCAGCUAAAAAGAAGGCAGGCAGUAUGAAGGAGAAAAUGAGAAACUCCUUGAGAACAAGCACUAAAAGGAAGCAGGCUGACAUUACUUCCUCAUCUUCUUCUGAUAUAGGAGAUGAUGAUCAGAAAUCUGUAGGUGAGGGGAGCAGUGAUGAGCAGAAAAUUAAGCCUGUGACUGAAAAUUUAGUGCUGUCGUCACAUACUGGAUUUUGUCAAUCUUCAGGAGACGAAGCCUUAUCUAAAUCAGUGCCUGUCACAGUGGAUGAUGACGACGAUGACAAUGAUCCUGAAAAUAGAAUUGCCAAGAAGAUGCUUUUAGAAGAAAUUAAAGCCAAUCUUUCCUCCGAUGAGGAUGGAUCUUCAGAUGAGUCAGAAGAAGGGAAGAAAAGAACUGGAAAACACAAUGAAGAAAACCCUGGAGAUGAGGAAGUAAAAAAUCAAGCCAUUUCUGAAUCAGAUUCAGAUUCUGAAGAAUCUAAGAAGCCAAGAUACAGACAUAGGCUUUUGAGACACAAGCUGAGUCUGAGUGAUGGAGAAUCUGGAGAAGAAAAAAAGAUGAAGCCUAAAGAGCACAAAGAAGCCAAAAGCAGAAAUAGAAGGAAGGUGAGUAGUGAAGAUUCUGAAGAUUCUGAUUUUCAGGAAUCUGGAGUUAGUGAAGAAGUUAGUGAAUCUGAAGAUGAACAACGGCCCAGAACAAGAUCUACGAAGAAAGCAGAGUUGGAAGAAAAUCAGAGAAGUUACAAACAGAAGAAGAAAAGGCGACGCAUUAAGGUUCAAGAAGACUCAUCUAGUGAAAACAAGAGUAAUUCUGAAGAAGAUAAAGAAGAAGAUGAAGAAGAAGAUGAAGAAGAAGAUGAAAAUGAUGAUUCGAAGUCUCCUGGAAAAGGCAGAAAGAAAAUUCGGAAGAUUCUUAAAGAUGAUAAGCUAAGAACAGAAACACAAAAUGCUCUUAAGGAAGAAGAAGAGAGGCGAAAACGUAUUGCUGAGAGAGAGCGAGAGCGAGAAAAAUUGAGAGAGGUGAUAGAAAUUGAAGAUGCUUCACCGACUAAGUGUCCAAUAACAACGAAGUUGGUUUUAGAUGAAGAUGAAGAAACCAAAGAACCUUUAGUGCAGGUUCAUAGAAAUAUGGUUAUCAAAUUGAAACCACAUCAAGUAGAUGGUGUUCAAUUUAUGUGGGAUUGCUGCUGUGAGUCUGUUAAAAAAACAAAGAAAUCUCCAGGUUCAGGAUGCAUUCUUGCCCACUGCAUGGGCCUUGGUAAGACUUUACAGGUGGUAAGUUUUCUUCAUACAGUUCUUUUGUGUGACAAAUUGGAUUUCAGCACAGCUUUGGUGGUUUGUCCUCUUAAUACUGCUUUGAAUUGGAUGAAUGAAUUUGAGAAGUGGCAGGAGGGAUUAAAAGAUGAUGAGAAGCUUGAGGUCUCUGAAUUAGCAACUGUGAAACGUCCUCAAGAAAGAAGCUACAUGCUACAGAGGUGGCAAGAAGAUGGUGGUGUUAUGAUCAUAGGCUAUGAGAUGUACAGAAAUCUUGCUCAAGGAAGGAAUGUGAAGAGUAGGAAACUUAAAGAAAUAUUUAACAAAGCAUUGGUUGAUCCAGGACCUGACUUUGUUGUUUGUGAUGAAGGCCAUAUUCUAAAAAAUGAAGCAUCUGCUGUUUCAAAAGCUAUGAAUUCUAUACGAUCAAGGAGGAGAAUUAUUUUAACAGGAACACCACUUCAAAAUAACCUAAUUGAGUAUCAUUGCAUGGUUAACUUUAUCAAAGAAAAUUUGCUUGGAUCCAUUAAGGAAUUCAGGAAUCGGUUUAUAAAUCCAAUCCAAAAUGGUCAGUGUGCAGAUUCUACCAUGGUAGAUGUCAGAGUAAUGAAAAAACGAGCUCACAUUCUCUAUGAAAUGUUAGCUGGAUGUGUUCAGAGGAAAGAUUAUACAGCAUUAACAAAGUUUUUGCCUCCAAAGCAUGAGUAUGUUUUAGCUGUGAGAAUGACUCCUAUUCAGUGCAAACUCUAUCAAUACUACUUAGAUCACUUAACAGGUGUAGGUAAUAGCAGUGAAGGCGGAAGAGGAAAGGCCGGUGCAAAACUUUUCCAAGAUUUUCAAAUGUUAAGUAGAAUCUGGACUCACCCAUGGUGUUUGCAGCUGGACUACAUUAGUAAAGAAAAUAAGGGAUAUUUUGAUGAAGACAGUAUGGAUGAAUUUAUAGCUUCAGAUUCCGAUGAAACCUCCAUGAGUUUAAGCUCUGAUGAUUAUACAAAAAAGAAAAAAGCAAAGGGGAAAAAGGGAAAAAAAGAUAGUAGCUCAAGUGGAAGUGGCAGUGACAAUGAUGUUGAAGUGAUUAAAGUCUGGAAUUCAAGAUCUCGAGGAGGUGGUGAAGGAAAUGUGGAUGAAACAGGAAACAAUCCCUCAGUUUCUUUAAAACUGGAAGAAAGUAAAGCUACUUCCUCUUCUAAUCCAAGCAGCCCAGCUCCAGACUGGUACAAAGAUUUUGUUACAGAUGCUGAUGCUGAGGUUUUAGAGCAUUCUGGAAAAAUGGUACUUCUCUUUGAAAUUCUUCGAAUGGCAGAGGAAAUUGGGGAUAAAGUCCUUGUUUUCAGCCAAUCUCUCAUAUCUCUGGACUUGAUUGAAGAUUUUCUUGAAUUGGCUAGUAGAGAAAAGACAGAAGAUAAAGAUAAGCCUCUUAUUUAUAAAGGUGAAGGGAAGUGGCUCAGAAACAUUGAUUAUUAUCGUUUAGAUGGCUCUACAACUGCUCAGUCAAGGAAAAAAUGGGCUGAAGAAUUUAAUGAUGAAACUAAUGUGAGAGGGCGAUUAUUUAUCAUUUCUACCAAAGCAGGAUCUCUUGGAAUUAAUCUGGUAGCUGCUAAUCGAGUGAUUAUAUUUGAUGCUUCUUGGAAUCCAUCUUAUGACAUCCAGAGUAUAUUCAGAGUUUAUCGCUUUGGACAAACUAAACCUGUCUAUGUAUAUAGGUUCUUAGCUCAGGGAACCAUGGAAGAUAAGAUUUAUGAUCGGCAAGUAACUAAGCAGUCACUGUCUUUUCGAGUUGUUGAUCAACAGCAAGUUGAACGUCAUUUUACCAUGAAUGAGCUGACUGAACUUUAUACCUUUGAGCCAGACUUGUUAGAUGACCCUAAUUCAGAAAAGAAGAAGAAAAGGGAUACUCCCAUGCUGCCAAAGGACACCAUACUUGCAGAACUUCUUCAAAUACAUAAAGAACAUAUUGUAGGAUAUCAUGAACAUGAUUCUCUUUUGGACCACAAAGAAGAAGAAGAGUUGACUGAAGAAGAAAGAAAAGCAGCUUGGGCUGAAUAUGAAGCAGAGAAGAAGGGACUGACCAUGCGUUUCAACAUACCAACUGGGACCAAUUUACCCCCUGUCAGUUUUAACUCUCAAACUCCUUAUAUUCCUUUCAAUUUGGGAGCCCUAUCAGCAAUGAGUAAUCAACAGCUGGAGGACCUCAUUAAUCAAGGAAGAGAAAAAGUUGUGGAAGCAACAAACAGUGUGACAGCAGUGAGGAUUCAGCCUCUUGAAGAUAUAAUUUCAGCUGUAUGGAAAGAAAACAUGAAUCUCUCAGAGGCCCAGGUACAGGCAUUAGCAUUAAGUAGACAAGCCAGCCAGGAGCUUGAUGUCAAACGAAGAGAGGCAAUCUACAAUGACGUGUUGACAAAACAACAGAUGUUAAUCAGCUGUGUUCAGCGAAUACUUAUGAACCGAAGGCUCCAGCAACAGUACAAUCAGCAGCAGCAGCAGCAAAUGACUUAUCAACAAGCAACGCUGGGUCACCUCAUGAUGCCAAAGCCUCCGAAUUUAAUCAUGAAUCCUUCUAACUACCAGCAGAUUGAUAUGAGAGGAAUGUAUCAGUCAGUGGCUGGUGGUAUGCAGCCACCACCAUUACAACGUGCACCACCCCCAAUGAGAAGCAAAAAUCCAGGACCUUCCCCAGGGAAAUCAAUGUGAUUUUGCACUAAAAGCUUAAAAGAUUGUUAAAAUCAUAGAAAGAUCUUUUAUUUUUUUAGGAAUCAAUGACUUAACAGAACUCAACUGUAUAAAUAGUUUGGUCCCCUUAAAUGCCAAUCUUCCAUAUUAGUUUAAAAAUUUUUUUUAAUAGGGCAUACCAUUUCUUCCUGACAUUUGUCAGUGAUGUUGCCUAGAAUCUUCUUACACACAUUGAGUACAGAAGAUCUUUCAAAUUGUUUUCAGUGAAAACAAGUCCUUCCAUAACAGUAACAACUCCACAGGUUUCCUCUCUAAAUUUUUAUGCCUGCUUUUAGUGACCAUAAAAUUGUCAUAAAUUAAUGAAUUUAUGAAAGAAUACUGAUUUAUAUAUUCAUUCUUUACAUAUAAAGACACACAGCUGAGUUCUUAGAGUUGAUUCCUCAAGUUAUGGAAUACUUUUGUACUUAUCCAUUUCUUGACUAA
rnacentral:lncRNA from 1 species